rnacentral:rRNA from 1 species
CCUGACUGCUAUCGGAUUGGUACUAAGCCAUGCGAGUCAUUGGCAACAAGGCGGACGGCUCAGUAACACGUAGUCAACCUAACUCGUGGACGUGGAUAACCUCGGGAAACUGAGAAUAAACCACGAUAGAUCAUAGUGCCUGGAAUGGCUUAUGGUCCAAACAGUUUACUGCCAUGGGAUGGGACUGCGGCCUAUCAGCUUGUUGGUGAGGUAAUGGCCCACCAAGGCGAUUACAGGUACGGGCUCUGAGAGGAGAAGCCCGGAGAUGGGUACUGAGACACGGACCCAGGCCCUAUGGGGCGCAGCAGGCGAGAAACCUUAGCAAUGUGCGAAAGCACGACUGGGUCAGUCCGAGUGAUUCCUGAUAAAGGAGUCUUUUGCCUGUCCUAAAAGCACAGGUGAAUAAGGGGUGGGCAAGUCUGGUGUCAGCCGCCGCGGUAAUACCAGCACCUCGAGUGGUCAGGACGUUUAUUGGGCCUAAAGUAUCCGUAGCCGGCCCUGCAAGUCUUCGGUUAAAUCCACCUGCUCAACAGAUGGGCCGCUGGAGAUACUACAGAGCUAGGGAGUGGGAGAGGCAGACGGUAUUCAGUGGGUAGGGGUAAAAUCCUCUGAUCCAUUGAGGACCACCAGUGGCGAAGGCGGUCUGCCAGAACACGUUCGACGGUGAGGGAUGAAAGCUGGGGGAGCAAACCGGAUUAGAUACCCGGGUAGUCCCAGCUGU